rnacentral:rRNA from 1 species
CCUACGGGGGGCAGCAGUGGGGAAUAUUGCACAAUGGGCGCAAGCCUGAUGCAGCCAUGCCGCGUGUGUGAAGAAGGCCUUCGGGUUGUAAAGCACUUUCAGCGGGGAGGAAGGCGGUGAGGUUAAUAACCUCAUCGAUUGACGUUACCCGCAGAAGAAGCACCGGCUAACUCCGUGCCAGCAGCCGCGGUAAUACGGAGGGUGCAAGCGUUAAUCGGAAUUACUGGGCGUAAAGCGCACGCAGGCGGUCUGUCAAGUCGGAUGUGAAAUCCCCGGGCUCAACCUGGGAACUGCAUUCGAAACUGGCAGGCUAGAGUCUUGUAGAGGGGGGUAGAAUUCCAGGUGUAGUGGUGAAAUGCGUAGAGAUCUGGAGGAAUACCGGUGGCGAAGGCAGCCCCCUGGACAAAGACUGACGCUCAGGUGCGAAAGCGUGGGGAGCAAACAGGAUUAGAUACCCUUGUAGUC